rnacentral:rRNA from 1 species
UACGUAGGGGGCGAGCGUUGUCCGGAGUUACUGGGCGUAAAGCGCACGCAGGCGGUCUGUGAAGUUUGGAGUGACAGUUGGUGGCUCAACCACCAAAGUGCUUUGAAAACUGAUAGACUUGAGGGCUUCAGAGGGACACGGAAUUCCGGGUGGAGUGGUGAAAUGCGUAGAGAUCCGGAGGAACACCAAAGGCGAAGGCAGUGUCCUGGGGAGUACCUGACGCUCAGGCGCGAAAGCGUGGGGAGCGAACAGG